GGGUGAGUAACACGUAGGUAACCUGCCCCGGAGCGGGGGAUAACAUUUGGAAACAGAUGCUAAUACCGCAUAACAACAAAAGCCACAUGGCUUUUGUUUGAAAGAUGGCUUUGGCUAUCACUCUGGGAUGGACCUGCGGUGCAUUAGCUAGUUGGUAAGGUAACGGCUUACCAAGGCGAUGAUGCAUAGCCGAGUUGAGAGACUGAUCGGCCACAAUGGAACUGAGACACGGUCCAUACUCCUACGGGAGGCAGCAGUAGGGAAUCUUCCACAAUGGGCGCAAGCCUGAUGGAGCAACACCGCGUGAGUGAAGAAGGGUUUCGGCUCGUAAAGCUCUGUUGUUGGAGAAGAACGUGCGUGAGAGUAACUGUUCACGCAGUGACGGUAUCCAACCAGAAAGUCACGGCUAACUACGUGCCAGCAGCCGCGGUAAUACGUAGGUGGCAAGCGUUAUCCGGAUUUAUUGGGCGUAAAGCGAGCGCAGGCGGUUGCUUAGGUCUGAUGUGAAAGCCUUCGGCUUAACCGAAGAAGUGCAUCGGAAACCGGGCGACUUGAGUGCAGAAGAGGACAGUGGAACUCCAUGUGUAGCGGUGGAAUGCGUAGAUAUAUGGAAGAACACCAGUGGCGAAGGCGGCUGUCUGGUCUGCAACUGACGCUGAGGCUCGAAAGCAUGGGUAGCGAACAGGAUUAGAUACCCUGGUAGUCCAUGCCGUAAACGAU
rnacentral:rRNA from 1 species